GCUCUGAUGGCCUAGUGGUUAGAGUAUCCAUCUCGGAUGUGGGAGGUCGUGGGUUCAAUCCCUGGUCAAGUCA